rnacentral:rRNA from 1 species
CCGAAAGCUAUUUAGGUAGCGCCUCGUGAAUUCAUCUCCGGGGGUAGAGCACUGUUUCGGCUAGGGGGCCAUCCCGGCUUACCAACCCGAUGCAAACUGCGAAUACCGGAGAAUGUUAUCACGGGAGACACACGGCGGGUGCUAACGUCCGUCGUGAAGAGGGAAACAACCCAGACCGCCAGCUAAGGUCCCAAAGUCAUGGUUAAGUGGGAAACGAUGUGGGAAGGCCCAGACAGCCAGGAUGUUGGCUUAGAAGCAGCCAUCAUUUAAAGAAAGCGUAAUAGCUCACUGGUCGAGUCGGCCUGCGCGGAAGAUGUAACGGGGCUAAACCAUGCACCGAAGCUGCGGCAGCGACGCUGAUGCGUUGUUGGGUAGGGGAGCGUUCUGUAAGCCUGCGAAGGUGGCCUGUGAGGGUUGCUGGAGGUAUCAGAAGUGCGAAUGCUGACAUAAGUAACGAUAAAGCGGGUGAAAAGCCCGCUCGCCGGAAGACCAAGGGUUCCUGUCCAACGUUAAUCGGGGCAGGGUGAGUCGACCCCUAAGGCGAGGCCGAAAGGCGUAGUCGAUGGGAAACGGGUUAAUAUUCCCGUACUUGGUGUUACUGCGAAGGGGGGACGGAGAAGGCUAUGUUGGCCGGGCGACGGUU